AGACGCACAACACAGAUGCGAUCAAAUGAGUUCACGGAGUUUACCGUGAGAUUCGGCUCUCUCUUUGUCCCACAGCACAGUAAUCCUUCACCAGGACGUCCUGAAGUUUACUGGAACGCCGAAGGAACUGGAUCAGAGAUUGCAGACGGAUCUCAAAGUCUUAAAAACACUGAACAGAAGUACUGCAAGUCUCUGAAAUGACCUCCUGAUGUUUUUUAAGACACUAUGCAUGUGAAUGAAAGGCGGUGUGUAUUUACUGGCUCAGCGUCUGGCCUGCGGUCCGUGCUCUUAUUUACCUCCUGACCCAGACAGCACCUGUCUGCCGUCCCGGGGAAGGACGCUACCGUGGACUCGGUGACCUGCGUGCCCGUGUGUUUUAAUGAAGAGCGAGCCAGCGUUUGGUUCGUUGGCCUCUCGGACGCUUCCCUGGACACGGAUCAAGGUCACGUCCCGCGCCAGCUUUGGAUGAAGAGUGGCCCAAACAGAAGGACACAGCUUCAGUCAGACUCACUUUACAAGGCUGUCAAAGACGCAAGCACCAGCUGCGAGAGUAGACCUGAAACGAGCACGUGGAGCUGGCUCCACACGCAUCUUCACCGGAAACGGUCUAAAUGGCUUCAGAUAUAAGACAGUCGACAUCUACGAGAUGGUGGCAGCCGCCAUUUUGUGAUGUGCUUGGCCUCAGAGAGGUGAAGUAUAUUUCCGUGAGUGUUUGCACAGCAACAUAUUAAUAUUAGCCUUAUGUUUUCAACAAUCCUCCUGUUCUGAAUGUGGUAUCUGGGUACGUUUAGCACGUAGCAUCUUUCGCAUAUUUUCUCGUGCACUCCGCAGUGCAAUAAUUGUGAACGAAUGCACAGCUAUUGCAAUCGUACCACUUUUGGAUUUAUGAUUCAUCUGAAAUAUGCUGUUCUGUUUUGUCUCAAAUAGGAGCCGUGUUUAAACAUAAAGGCAGUGUUAAAGUUCAGGUCAUUAAUAGUUGGCCAGUAACCUGUAAGUAAAUGCUUGUCCUUGGUCGAACACGAUGGCACUGCUGCAGCACCACAAACAAAAAAAACUAAUAAACGGAGAGACGUUCCAGCGAAAUAACAAAAGAUAAAGCUGUUGCUGUGCUGCUCGCUCAGUCUUUGGGGAUGCAGUGGGCUAUCAGAAGUUUGAAAUUAAAUAUAAGCAUGUACGGUUUUAUCUGCGAGGGCACCGAUUGGUCCGAAGCCGUGGCGAGAUGUGACGUGGGAGGAAAACGGCGGGGUCCCUACCUAACACCGUUGAUGAUGUCCAACAGGCCGCACGAUCCACGCAAGCUUGCUUUUUCACUCCGAAUGCACUAACUUUGCAGUUCUGCUUGGCAGUGUGUUAGUGUGUGAGGACAGACGUGAGCCAGUGGCGAAGGGGACGGGUGCGCCCUCGUGCAUCGGCCAUGUUAGAUCAGCCCGAUCGCAGCAUUCACACUUUUAGACAUUGAAAGACGCUGGUUAGGAAAGCAGCCCCACCUUCUGAAAUGUCACAAGUCUUCCCACAAUCCCCAGAGAGACUGCAAAGAGAAGUGUUGAGUAAGUCCGCAAGAGCUGGAAAGAGAUUUUCGCAGUUCGCAGGCUUUCUCUCUUUCUGCGCUCUCAUUAGUUGAGCCGCCGAGAGGAAGCGUGAGGGGGAGAGAGAGAAAGAAAGAAAGAAAGAGAGAGAAUGAGCGUGUGCUCUGCAUUCGGAGGGAAAAAAAGUUUGUACAGUGAGUCCGGCCUCGAGGGGUUUCUGGAGCGAGAGCCAGAGCAAACACAACCUUUUUUGCUGUGUCGUUUUCCUUUUCAUUUAUUACAAUAGCGCCUGCCAUAGCGUUGAACACUGGGAAGAAAUGGAGGGAAACGAUAUCGCCACACAUCCCUUGCAGCACGGUGAGGGUGUGUUUGAGGGAACGUCUAAUGUUUUUUGUCGUUUUCUUUCCCAGCCUCGUUCUGUCACCGCAAGGGAGGGAUUCAAGGGAACGGGGCAGAUGGACGGAUGAACGAAGGGUAGAGAGAUAGAGAGAGAGAGAAAGAGAGAGAGAGAAAGGGCACGUGAGGAGAGCAGUAUCGUGGGGGUGGAGCCUGUCCAUUUUCCUCCUUUCUCAUUGGCUGGAAGGUCAGAGCUGUUCCUCAAAUCCAGUGCGGAGACUCUGAUUGGUUGGAUGUGGGUGUUUCUUUAAGUACAGGCACUUUUAUGAACCAGGAGUUGAUUUAUAUUAACCAACAGACUUUAAUUUUUGCUUUUAAGAAAUGCUUUCAUUUAGGUUUUCUUUCAAAUAUUUGUCCUGACCCUAGUCUGAAACUAUGAAAAUGCAUUGUAAAAAUAUUGAUUGCAUUUUUAAAACUAUGGUGUAAACAAAAAGUUACCAUUUCAAUAUUUAUAAUGUGAAAAUGAUUUAUAAAUUUUUUUGUGCAUAAAUUACAACCGUCUGUUAUGAGUUUCAGUGUAAUUUCCACUAUGACAAACCGUUUCGCCCCUAAUAAGUUUAGUCAGUGAAGACCUCGAGAUGAUAUAUGACACUUGAUGCAUUAAGAAGUCAAAGUUAAAUUAAGGUAAUUACUGGACAUGUAUAGUGGACAAUUUAAAUGAACUAGUAAGAUUCGGAAAAUGUCUGUUUUAGGAAACUCUAUUUUCAAAGUCGAGUGAACUUGAUGGUUUAAAGUAACAUUAUACUUUAUUUGAGGAAGACACCGAAGUUUAAGUUGUUAGUGAACAAAAAUCCUCCUUUUUUCACGUUCAUGUGCAGAAUUCAAAAUUAGCUUGUUGAGUCCGGACAUACAUGUGAACAAUGCCAUUUUGGCAUCAAAUACUUGGACACGCCAUUUCAUUUUUUGGGGUUAUAUGUGGUGUUAUCAGUCCUUUUUGGAUUGUUCGGAGAAGUCUACUUUGUGUUCGAGAAGAAAUAAACCUGCAGCAUUCAGGGUUUCGAAAUGUUAAAGUGUACUUUUAAAGCAAACCUUUAAAGCAACCAAAUGAAUGUUUGAUGGAAAGAAGAACUAACAAUAAAUCUACUGUUUACGUUCAGAAACUGUGUGGAAUUCGAAGUUUCAAAUACUUUUUCUGCAGAAAGUUGCGUUCUUCUGCUGUGUUUCCACUCCUUUUUCUUUCUUUCUGGUUGGAUUAUCUGUGUGUGUGUGUGUGUGUGUGUGUGUGUGUGUGUGUGUGUGUGUGUGAGAGAGAGAGAGAGAGAGAAAAACACACUGAGUCUGCGCGCUGGGGGAGGAGUAUCUAUGUCACACUCUCUCUCUCUCUCUGUCUUUCUCCUCCCGCUCCGUACUUGCAGUUUUUCCGCCCUCCCACUUCUCUCUCUCUCUUUUUCUCUCUCUUUCAAGUGCAAGGCCAUGUGGGACGUCUGAUGAGGAGUUUCACCCCUCUACGUCUCCAGUUUCAUAUCUCUCUUUCCCUCUCCACCGUUCUUUCGCUUUCCGUACGGGUUCCUCGAGCUCCGCUGUUUUUGCAAGGUGGAGACCCACUGGAGACUAGUUUAGAGAGUGUAAGGGGGAUAAAGGGGAAAGAAAAAACCAAGCUUCUUCUUUUUUUUUUUUUACAGUGAGGGCCUCCUGACUAGAGCGCGAAAGAGGCUCCCCCACAAGCCUGCCAACACGCUCCCAGAUUUCCAUGAGCGGCCGAGUCCACCUUGACCCGCAGCCCACGCCGGUGCAGGGCCAGGCCAAAAACCUGCUGGAUUUGCCAAUUGGAAGUACUGACCUACGACUUACCCGUUCCCGAUGCAUUCGGACAGGGGAUUCCGGAGUGAAGCUGCUCCACUCUGGGACAGGUGCCAAUUGCUCACAAAAGGCGAGUGAAAAUAUCAGUGAUCUGCACAAGGAAACGUCGGGGGUGAGUGGAAAAUGCAAACUCGCAUGCAUCCGUGCAACUAACGCAGAAAAAAGUGAAGGAUGGUUGCGAGGGGAGGGGAAGACACAGAAAAAGAGGAUCGUGAAAGAAGAGGUGGGGGCGUUUAUUCAAGCCUGUUUGAUGCUCCUCGGGCCUUCGAGAGCCGAUCGCAUGUGCCGUGGUAACUGCGGGACCAUUUGCAUGUGGCAGACACGCUAAUUGUGUGUUUGCUAACACGCACCAUUCAGCGAGACGCGCUCCGGUCCACAGACGGUGUUCACACACGCCUCCCAGACGCCCCGGAGGCCUCCUAUUGUUCCAGAGGCCCAGCCGAACAGCCGGAGAGCCUAACCAGAGCCCUAUGCUGGCCUGCCGAGAGGAGAAACUGGAAUUGGAGACCAGACGGGAUAACGGAACGGGACGGACUCGCAGCCCCUCUCUCUCUUUCUCUCCGCAGCAAGAAAAAAGAGGCCUGUGGGAAGCGCUGCCUCCGGACGCUGACGUCCUCGCAGAUGUGUGCAAAAGUAGAGUUUGAAAUGGACUAACCAAGAUGCAGCCCUGCACAGAUGCAGACAGACAGAGAUGAAGACAGAACAAGAGUUUGAAACGCUUCUCUUCAUGAAUAGUUUGCUUGUUUCGUAUCCGAGUUCAUUUCCUCUCUCCAUCUGUUCGGUUCUGAGUGCGGACCCCGCAGGUGCUGUUGAAGACCGCUGCUUCACAUGUCUGCUGUGAUGUGUUGAGGACAUCUCUCCAGCGGAUCCCACUGUCCUUUGGGGUGAGGUAGUAGGUUGUAUAGUUUUAGGGUGACACCCUUCCUGUUAGAUAACUAUACAACUUACUGUCUUUCCUGAAGAGGCUGUAAUAUCACCGUCAUCUUCCCCAUUAAGCCUGACCACGGAUGGACCAGUGUUAUUUUAGUAUUAUUGCUCAACUGUUAUAGUUUUUGUUCAUCUUUUGAAUUCAAUUUUAUUUUAACAUUUUCAGGUUUCAUUUUAAUUUCAGGCAAAGGUUUAGUGUUUUUUCAUCAUUUGUAUUUUUUAUAUAUUUUUAAAUCAUUUUUUUAUUUAUCAUUUUAGUUUAAUUUGUAAUUUUGAUGUCUGAAAUGUGGCAAGUAGCUGAAAUGAGGUAGUUUAUUAUAUAUAUUUUUCAUUUGUUGUAGUAAUGAGGUGUGUGUGGGGGGGGGGGUGUUAUUUUAUAUAUUUUAAUAUAUUUUUAGGUCUUUCUGUUUUCAUUUUGAAUUUUAGUCAAGGUUUCGGUGUGUUUUUGUCAUUUUUUUAAAUUAGUUUUAGUUUUUGUUAUGUUUCAAUAGUUUUUAAUACUUUUUAUUUAUUCGUUUUAGUUUAUUUAAUUUGUUAUUUUAAUACUUUAUAUUAAAUGUAAUAAUCUCUCCAUAUAUUUAAUAAAUAUUUAUUUUUUAUUUUAUAUAUAAUGUAUAUAUAUAUAUUUUUUAAAUAGUCAUAUAUUUUAGAAUGUUUAUUUGUAUAUUUUAAUUUUAAAAAAUAGCUUGUAAUUUUAAUAUAUUUAUAUAUUUUUAUCUCUUUUUUUUGUUUUUAUACAGUUUAGUUUGUUAACCUUAAUAACCCACACAGCUGGGACAGAUGAAGUCUCUGGGAUGGACAACAUUCAUCAACAAAUCAUUAAAACUGAAUUACAUGAUGUGCAUAUUUGGAUCGAAUGAUUAAUUGAUUUCUUGAUUUUGAUUUGAGGAUAUUAAAUGAUUUCCCAGAAGAUCUUUUUGUUAAGAAACGUUUCAGAUCACUGUGAUUGAUUUUUCCCUACUGCUUCCGCUGCAGUUUUUUCGAGGAAAGUUUUCGCAGAUGUGCGCUUCAGAAGUGCUUUGCAGAAAUAUGAGAUCAUUUUGUCAUUCGCAUUAUGCAAGUUGGGAGAAUAUUUCAGCAUCUGGAGGUCUCAGCAGUCAUCUGUAGUGCGAUCUUUGGCAUGAAGGUGAUUGUUUUGCAGGACUGUGGUCUCGGGACGCUCCUGAUGUUCGUACAGGGUGAGGUAGUAGGUUGUGUGGUUUCAGGGUAGUGAUUUUGCCCCAUCAGGAGAUAACUAUACAACCUACUGCCUUCCCUGGAGGGCAGCGACACAGCAGCAGUCUUCCAGCAGGAGGCGCCGCUUCUCACACCUUCAACACUGACAGGUACAGUACAUCAACUACACACACAUACUACCAGCACACUUUACAUUUAACAGCCCUUUUCCACUAUCAGCUACCUUUUGUGGACUGGAAAUAUGGAGCAAUAAUAAAAGAAGCUUUAUUUGUUAUCCAUCAAACUUGUCUGUUUUUAUUUUAGGAUUACAGGUCAUUAAUAAUAUGAUUACUUGAACUAUAUUAUUUUAUGAUUACAAGUUAUUUCUUAAUUUUAUAUAUAUAUAUAUAUAUAUAUAUAUAUAUAUAUGAAAAUAUUUAUAAUAAUUUUAUGCUGUUUUUAUUUUUAGAUUAAAUUUAUUUUUAUUUCUAUGAAUGUUUAAUUUUAUUAACCAUAUUAUUAAUCAACUAUAAUCAUAAAAUAAAUAAAAAAUAAUAAAAAAUAGCCAAAUAAAUUUUAAAAAGAUUAGUUAAGAUGAUCAAAUACAAACAGCAUUCACAAUUAUUAUUUUCUAUAGCUACAAAAACAAAACAAAAAAGCAUGAGCCCACCUUCCUGUUUCAACAGAAAAUAUGCUAAAAAUAAUAUUAAUAUUAUAUAAAUAUAAAGAUUAUUAUGAGAAUAUAAUUCAGCAACAUCUGUUUAUCUUCACUGAGCAAGAAUAUUUAUAGAUCGCAUCUGUCAUAUGCAAUAAACCAGACUGUUAAUAAAGAUGUCUUGUGUCGUCUUAUUUCACAUUGCCUGAGAAAGAAAUGACUCUUUGAAUAAGAAAUGAAAUAUCAAAUACAAUAGCUUGAGAAAUACUGACUGAAUUAAGAUUGCAGUGACUUUUUUGCACACACUUUGUAAAGGAGCUCAUCUAAUCACAUUAUUUCCUGACCACCAGAACACACAAGAUUUUAUGAAACGUGUUUAACGAGUAUCCUUCAGUUGUGUAUUGUGUUUGUUUAUUGCAUUAGAUUAAAUUAAUAACCAGAAAUGUAAUCUAAUGCAAACAAUUGUAACCAACUCAUGGCCACUGCACCAUCGCACAAAUUAGUGUUGAUUUAGAGGUCGUCUCUAAGAAAUAAUCAAACAUAGAUUUAAUAUAACAACAAAUAAAUGUGCAAUUUGAAAAAAACACAUAAUACCAUGUAUGCUUUCAUCAAUAUUACAUAAAAAAGUCAAUUAAACAUUAUUUUAAAUAAUUUAAAUAGCAUUUGUGAUGGUAAGGUUUUUGGCUUCUCCCUCACUUUUCUUUUUCAGCAGGACUUUUAAUUUGCAAAAUGAA
ensembl:lncRNA